GACGAACGCUGGCGGCGUGCUUAACACAUGCAAGUCGAACGGAAAGGCCCUGCUUUUGUGGGGUGCUCGAGUGGCGAACGGGUGAGUAACACGUGAGUAACCUGCCCUUGACUUUGGGAUAACUUCAGGAAACUGGGGCUAAUACCGGAUAGGAGCUCCUGCUGCAUGGUGGGGGUUGGAAAGUUUCGGCGGUUGGGGAUGGACUCGCGGCUUAUCAGCUUGUUGGUGGGGUAGUGGCUUACCAAGGCUUUGACGGGUAGCCGGCCUGAGAGGGUGACCGGCCACAUUGGGACUGAGAUACGGCCCAGACUCCUACGGGAGGCAGCAGUGGGGAAUAUUGCACAAUGGGCGGAAGCCUGAUGCAGCAACGCCGCGUGCGGGAUGACGGCCUUCGGGUUGUAAACCGCUUUCGCCUGUGACGAAGCGUGAGUGACGGUAAUGGGUAAAGAAGCACCGGCUAACUACGUGCCAGCAGCCGCGGUGAUACGUAGGGUGCGAGCGUUGUCCGGAUUUAUUGGGCGUAAAGGGCUCGUAGGUGGUUGAUCGCGUCGGAAGUGUAAUCUUGGGGCUUAACCCUGAGCGUGCUUUCGAUACGGGUUGACUUGAGGAAGGUAGGGGAGAAUGGAAUUCCUGGUGGAGCGGUGGAAUGCGCAGAUAUCAGGAGGAACACCAGUGGCGAAGGCGGUUCUCUGGGCCUUUCCUGACGCUGAGGAGCGAAAGCGUGGGGAGCGAACAGGCUUAGAUACCCUGGUAGUCCACGCUGUAAACGGUGGGUACUAGGUGUGGGGUCCAUUCCACGGGUUCCGUGCCGUAGCUAACGCUUUAAGUACCCCGCCUGGGGAGUACGGCCGCAAGGCUAAAACUCAAAGGAAUUGACGGGGCCCCGCACAAGCGGCGGAGCAUGCGGAUUAAUUCGAUGCAACGCGUAGAACCUUACCUGGGUUUGACAUGGAUCGGGAGUGCUCAGAGAUGGGUGUGCCUCUUUUGGGGUCGGUUCACAGGUGGUGCAUGGCUGUCGUCAGCUCGUGUCGUGAGAUGUUGGGUUAAGUCCCGCAACGAGCGCAACCCUUGUUCACUGUGGCCAGCACGUUAUGGUGGGGACUCAGUGGAGACCGCCGGGGUCAACUCGGAGGAAGGUGGGGAUGACGUCAAGUCAUCAUGCCCCUUAUGUCCAGGGCUUCACGCAUGCUACAAUGGCUGGUACAGAGAGUGGCGAGCCUGUGAGGGUGAGCGAAUCUCGGAAAGCCGGUCUCAGUUCGGAUUGGGGUCUGCAACUCGACCUCAUGAAGUCGGAGUCGCUAGUAAUCGCAGAUCAGCAACGCUGCGGUGAAUACGUUCCCGGG
rnacentral:rRNA from 1 species